UCUACGGGAGGCAGCAGUGGGGAAUAUUGCACAAUGGGGGAAACCCUGAUGCAGCCACGCCGCGUGAGUGAAGAAGUAUUUCGGUAUGUAAAGCUCUAUCAGUAGGGAAGAAGAAAGACGGUACCUGAGUAAGAAGCACCGGCUAACUACGUGCCAGCAGCCGCGGUAAUACGUAGGGGGCAAGCGUAAUCCGGAUUUACUGGGUGUAUAGGGAGGGUAGACGGCGAAGAAAGUCUGAAGUGAAAGCCCGCGGCUUAACCGCGGAACUGCUUUGGAAACUUUUUUGCUUGAGUACCGGAGAGGUAGGCGGAAUUCCUAGUGUAGCGGUGAAAUGCGUAGAUAUUAGGAGGAACACCAGUGGCGAAGGCAGCUUACUGGACUGUAACUGACGUUGAGGCUCGAAAGCGUGGGGAGCAAACAGGAUUAGAUACCCUUGUAGUC
rnacentral:rRNA from 1 species